GACGCAGCCUGGUGAGAUGGUGGGCCAGCUGGCUGUGCUGACCAGGGAGCCUCUCAUCUUCACCAUCAAGGCCAGCCGUGACUGCACCUUCCUCAAGAUCUCCAAGUCGGACUUCUAUGUGUUGGUGUCCCCCUUCCUCUCAUCCUGUGGGCAGGCUCUGCCCACCUCCCACCCCACUUCCAUCUAGACUGGUGGCAGAUUGGGGCCGUGUCCCAUUCCCCACCCCCAUAAACUAGCCAGUUGGGCGGAUGUCUCUGCUGGAGCAUUUUAAUUCUGCGUCCCCAAUCUGCCACCCACCCACCUGGCAGCUGUGCAGUAAUUAUCCAAAUGGCUUGGCCUGGCCUGCCCCCUGCCCUAACAGCCAA